CAAUAGCGUAUAUUAAAGUUGUUGCAGUUAAAAAGCUCGUAGUUGGACUUCUGAUGUGGAGGGACGGUCCGCCUCACGGUGAGCACUGAUUCUUCACGUCUUCCUCUCGUAGUCUUUUGGCGCACUUAGUUGGGUGCCUUUAGAAUAUGGGACCUUUACUUUGAAAAAUUAGAGUGUUCAAAGCAGGCAAUCGCUUGAAUACAUUAGCAUGGAAUAAUAGAAUAGGAAGUCGUUUCUAUUUUGUUGGUUUUCGGAAAUCGACUUAAUGAUUAAUAGGGACAGUCGGGGGCAUUUGUAUUCAAACGACAGAGGUGAAAUUCUUGGACCGUUUGAAGACAAACUACUGCGAAAGCAUUUGCCAAGAAUGUUUUCAUUAAUCAAGAACGAAAGUUAAAGGUUCGAAGACGAUUAGAUACCGU
rnacentral:rRNA from 1 species